GGUGGAUGUAGCUCAGUUGGUUAGAGCACCAGAUUGUGGUUCUGGGUGUCGUGGGUUCGAGCCCCAUCUUCCACCC
rnacentral:tRNA from 2 species